AUGAACGCUGGCGGCGUGCCUAACACAUGCAAGUCGAGCGGCAGCGAGGGGUGCUUGCACCCUGUCGGCGAGCGGCGGACGGCUGAGUAACGCGUGGGAACGUGCCCCAAAGUGAGGAAUAACUGCCCGAAAGGGUAGCUAAUACCGCAUAUUAUCUUCGGAUCAAAGGAUUUAUCCGCUUUGGGAGCGGCUCGCGUCGGAUUAGGUAGUUGGUGAGGUAAUGGCUCACCAAGCCGACGAUCCGUAGCUGGUCUGAGAGGAUGACCAGCCAGACUGGAACUGAGACACGGCCCAGACUCCUACGGGAGGCAGCAGUGAGGAAUCUUCCACAAUGGUCGAAAGCCUGAUGGAGCAACGCCGCGUGCAGGACGAAGGCCUUCGGGUUGUAAACUGCUUUUAUAAGUGAGGAAUAUGACGGUAACUUAUGAAUAAGGAUCGGCUAACUACGUG
rnacentral:rRNA from 1 species